rnacentral:rRNA from 1 species
AUUGAACGCUGGCGGCAUGCUUUACACAUGCAAGUCGAACGGCAGCGCGGGCUUCGGCCUGGCUGCGAGUGGCGAACGGGUGAGUAAUGCAUCUGAACGUUCCCCGUAGUGGUGGAUAGCCCGGCGAAAGCCGGAUUAAUACCGCAUACUACCUGAGGGUGAAAGCGGUGGACCGAAAGGCCUCGCGCUCUUUGAGCGGCCGAUGGCGGAGUAGCUAGCUGGUGGGGUAAAGGCUUACCAAGGCGACGAUCCGUAGCUGGACUGAGAGGACGACCAGCCACACGGGGACGGAGACACGGCCAAGACUACUAAGGGAGGCAGCAGUGGGGAAUGUUAGACAAUGGGGGCAAACAUGAUCCAGCCAUGCAGCGUGCGGGAAGAAGGCCUUCGGGUUGUAAACCGCUUUUGUUCGGGAAGAAAUCCUCUGGGCUAAUACCCCGGGGGGAUGACGGUACCGGAAGAAUAAGCACCGGCUAACUACGUG